UUCAUCAACAUUCUACCCUGGGACAAGUUCCAUUGCCACCAUUCUGCCCAGCUGUGAGUGAAAUGGUCCUCAUAUUUCUAUGUCAGUUGUUAAAGAAUAUUUACUGAGAUGUCUAUGUUGCUGGCACCAAGAAAUGGUGGGAAAUUUAUACACAAAUAAGCAGUAAUGCUGUCACAAGAAGAGAACUGCAUGGAUGAAAAUUAAACCAGGAAGCCCAGUGGCCUUCCCACAGACUAAACGUAUCAUCAGUUCUGUAUGGAUGAGAAGUGGCUACCAGGAAAGCUGAUCUCUCCCACUGGUCAUUUCUCUAGCAACCCAAGGCCCAAGAUCAACUUUAUAUCUAUUAGUUUCCAAAUUUUGCCUCAUAUGUGGAACAAAAACUCUUCUUUGUUGUGAUAAUACAGCUGUCUUUCCACAGAAUUCCUGGACCAAAGGUAAAUACGAAACAUCGUAAAAACCGAGAAGACAAUGCACAAAUAAGGAAUUCUUCAACCAUUCUCUCUGUGCUACACUUGCAAAGUUUAAGGUUUCAGAUCCAGGAUCCUCAUAUCAGUUAGUAUGUAACUAUCAAAUAAAAUUUUUUU